UACGAAGGGGGCUAGCGUUGCUCGGAAUGACUGGGCGUAAAGGGCUCGUAGGCGGCCAACUAAGUCGGAUGUGAAAUCCCCAGGCUUAACCUGGGAACUGCAUCCGAUACUGGAUGGCUUGAAUCCGGGAGAGGUGAGUGGAAUUCCGAGUGUAGAGGUGAAAUUCGUAGAUAUUCGGAAGAACACCAGUGGCGAAAGGCGGCUCACUGGACCGGCAUUGACGCUGAGGUGCGAAAGCGUGGGGAGCAAACAGG
rnacentral:rRNA from 1 species